AAGUGUGUAUAUUACUCCAUUAAUUAACUCUUGAAAAUAAAAAAGAAGAAAAAAGAAAAACAAAAAAGGGAAAAUAAACGCGGCACACCAAAACCAGAGUCUUUCUCUUUCUUCAUUCUCUCUCUUUCUGCUCAUAGUUUUGAGCUAAUACAAAGAUCGUAGUAAGGCGAUCCAAGCUUUAACAAAACAGUUUCCGUAAUCGUCUGACUUAGCUUUUUAAAUCCAUAUCGGUUUUUCUUUUUCCUUCAAUUUAAUUUUGUUAGAUUUUAAUUAAUUUUCUAUUUAUUAAAUAAAGGUCAGCUGGGGUUGGUGAAAUUUUACUGUUUUCCUGCGAUCUCGAUUAGUUGAGCUGAAAGGUUUUAAACUUUAAUGAAAUGGGUCAAAUUUUUUGUGUGUUGUAGCUCAAGUUAAGAGGCAAAAGGGGGUCUGAAAAGUGAAAAAUCUUGGAAUUUUGUGGAGUGUAUUUAUUAAUUUGAAUGAUUUCUGUUGGGAGUAGAGAUGGAAGGAUGGGAUUAGGGUUUGAUGGUGGAAUGGAGGAAACUGAGCUAGAAGAAGGAGAGGCCUGCUGUUACAACAUUGAUUCAACCAUUGACCCUGAUGUUUCUCUAUCUUACCUUGUGAGUUUCUUUUUCUUUUUGCCUUUAGUAUUUAUCAUACUUUUGGAGUUAUAAUUGAGAUCAAAUCAUUUAAGUCUUGGAAGAUUCUUGUCCAUACUGCAUUUGAUUGUAAUUUAUUGCAUUUUAGUCUUAGAAAAUUCUUGUCCAUACUGCAUUCAAUUGUAAUUUGGUUCAUGUUGGUGCAUUGACUUUUUGUAGUUUGUUAGUUUGCAGCUCAAUCUCUGAUCAAUCGACAUACUUUUGUCUAUCUCCUGCUGGGGCUGCUCAAUACAAUUGACGGCCUAAAGCCAAAACUUAAUAAGUGACCUUCUCAUGUGUUAGAAAAAACUUGAAAAUGAAAUGGAAAAGGAAUGUUAUUAAAACUCAAGCAUAAAAGAGCCAGAGAAAGCUAAGAGGAAAUACGGAAGCUGAAAAGUAAUUAGCUUAUAUUAAUUACUCUAAGAGAAAGAAAUUCACCUUAAUUACCUCAACUAAAUCCGACAUGGGUGUUGGAUGCUGAAAUCCAUUUAGAUGCAAUAGGUCUUGGAGACGCCAUUAA
rnacentral:lncRNA from 1 species